ensembl:lncRNA
AGCGUAUUGCCUCAGAGUAAACGCAGCGUUUUCAGAAUCAAACAGUCUCUCUUUGAGCUGCUCAACCAUUACAUUUACAUUAGGGAUUCUUCAAGCGAUAGGCUGUCAUUUUACUUUCAUCCCUUUACAAGGAAAUGUACAGUAUGCAGUCUGCAGACAAGUUAAGUAAUAUCCCUGUUUGCAAAUCUCGUAACAUUCCCCUGUACUCUAUUCUUCAAAUGUUACAAAAGUCUCGAUCUAAACUGACUGUUUUUCUAGUGAUGUUAUCUUUUUUUCACAGUGCAAAGCCCAAGCCGACUGCUGAGGUCCAUGAGAAUGAAGUAGUGAAGCAGGAUACAGGUCAGGAAGACCAAGAAAGUGACAGCGACAAUGAGGAUGAUGAUGAUGAUGACAUGUGUGUAACCAUUGGAGCCCCGUCACAGCCGUUCAGGCUGCAGGGAGAACACAUGCAUCAGUUUGCCCCAAAGCCAAAGGAGUGGACGUGGAUGCACAGGGUAGUGUUAACGGAAUCCCUGUGUUGGAGGUCGACGUGGAGUCUUUUGAAGAAAAGCCAUGGAGAAAGCAUGACUCGCACUUAACGAGGACUCCUGGAAAGCCUACUGUGAGAACCAGAGGAGAUUACGCAUGGGGUAUAAGGUCAUGAACCACGCUUCAGCCACUAAACUCAUGGAAUGGGACCUUCCCUGCUUUAGAUCUGACUACUCCUCCCCCAGCAACCACUACAAAUCAGCCUUGUCCAGUAGAAAGACAAGCGGCACCACCAAUGUUAUUGGAGGACAAACUGGUACCAUCAGCCGGGUAGAGGAACAGAGACGUCACAAUAUAGAAGGAAAUAACAUCCAGGUGCUUUCCAAGCCAUCUGACGCUGAGCCUACUCCCACUAAGAUGCCCCCCUUCUUCCCCCUGCCUCCUUUCCCGCCUCCACCCUACAAUGUCAACUCUGCCCCUCCACUCAUUCCUCCACCACGCUACCCUCCUGGAGCACCCCCGCCCUCUCUGAUCCCUACCUUAGACAGGACCUGAGCCCUAGGACCAUGCCUCAGGACUACCUGGCCUGAUGACUCCUUGCUGCCCCCAGUCCUCCUGGCCGUGCUGCUGCUCCAGUUUCAACUGUUCUGCCUGCGUCUAUGGAACCCUGACCUGUUCAUCGGACGUGCUACCUGUCCCAGACCUGCUGUUUUCAACUCUAGAGACAGCAGGAGCGGUAGAGAUACUCCUAAUGAUCGGCUAUGAAAAGCCAACUGACAUUUACUCCUGAGGUGCUGGCCUGUUGCACCCUCGACAACUACUGUGAUUAUUAUUAUUUGACCAUGCUGGUAAUUUAUGAACAUUUGAACAUUUUGGCCAUGUUCUGUUAUAAUCUCUACCCGGCACAGCCAGAAGAGGACUGGCCACCCCUGAUAGCCUGGUUCCUCUCUAGGUUUCUUCCUAGGUUUUUGCCUUUCUGGGGAGUUUUUCCCAGCCCCCAUGCUUCUACACCUGCACUUUGAGAUAUCAGCUGAUGUAAGAAGGGCUAUAGAAAUCAAUUUGAUUUGAUUAGGGCUCACACACACCGUACAGUACACACACAGUAGGGUGCUCACACACACUGUACACACACAGUAGGGCUGGGAUGAUACCAGUAUCGCAUUAUUUCUUCCAUGGCAAAAAUGAAAACACAAAGCAGAUAUCAUGGCACAGAUGCAGACACAGGAGGCAGAUGGUUGGAGUAUUACAAUGUUUAUUAAUCCAAAGGAGUAGGCAAGAGAAUAGUCGUGGACAGGCUAAUACCAAUGGGUACCGAAGGGCAGGCAGAAUCAAGGUCAGGGCAGGCAGGAUGAUCAGGCAGGCACAAAAGCAGUCCAGAGCCAGGCAGGGGUCAGAACCGGAAGGAUUAUAAAAAGAGAAUAGGAAAGGAGUACGGGAAAAACACGCUGGUUGACUUGACUAAACAUGCAAGACGAACUGGCACAGAGAGACAGGAAACACAGGGAUAAAUACACUGGGGAAAAUAAGCGACACCUGGAGGGGGUGGAGACAAUCACAGGAACAGGUGAAACAGAUCAGGGUGUGACAGCAGACUAAACUCUUUUUUUUUAAUGCUGUAUGUAAACUAUUGUGUGCUAUAGCUUUAAAAAAUACAACAAUUUGACUCUGGAGGACAAAAUAAUGAUGUUUGUUUCCAACAUUAGGGCUGUUUUCCUAAAGAAGUUAAAUCUGCGUCAUAUUUUGUUUCCUUGCCAUGAUACUAACACGUUUCGCGAUACUGGUAUCGUCCCGGCCCUAACGCACACACACACAUCCUACAUUUCCACAGCACACUCAGGUUGACCAGUAGCUAGAUGUGUCAUUAAUUCAUAUAAACUCGGACAAAUGCCAAGUAUGACACACAUACGGCCUCUUGCCUCUUACUCACACUCCUCCUCAUGCCCACAAUAUCAUGCAGCUUAUCAACCUACACAUUCACACUCUCCCUCCUACACACACUAUGACUAUGUUCUUCUUAAUCUAGUGUCUCUCUGUCUCAACUCUUUGCUGCAGUGGGUCGUGCUGAGGAUCAUAUUGGGGACAGCUGUGUUCCAGGUUAUAUGAGGGAAGUGGGACAUAUGGGCAGCUGUGAUGUAACCACAGGAGGAGAGGAGGAAGUCAGGGAGGGAGGGACAGCCAUGUUUGUGACAGGCCCACUGGGACAGACAGACAGAUCUGGCACUGUGGUUCUGUUCUGGUCCUCAUGGAGAUCUCUGGUUUACCUGUCUCUCUCCCAGGAUGUUAAUACCUCCAGGGUGUUGGGGUGUGUGCGCACUAGGGUUGAAUAUUUUCCAAGUAUUUUACAAAUGUUCCAGCCUGAGAUUAUAUCACUUUUCUCCCAGGUAAUUCGGUGUGUCAUUCAAAAGCAUAUACAUAUGUCUGGAUUUGAUUAGGGCUUUGAUCAGCAUGAACAUUCAGACCUGAUGCUACCUGAGCCUAAUGAGCCAUAUAUUAAGUACAUUUUAGGAGCCCUACAUUAACAACAUUUAAUGAGCCCAAGCCCCAAAUAGCUCAAAUGAUUGUGUCGUUAUCCAAUACAUAUAUGAUAUAGGCUACUGCACAUUAUGCACAUCAUAAAAACUUAAAACCCCAUAGAUGUAGCUAGAUAUAUGAUCUCUUGGGUAAAUAAAUUAAACUAGCUCCAGUAAGCUUUGUUUUUUUUAGUGUGAACUGUAUUACUGUACUGUGUUGUUUUAUAUUGACUGGAAUAACAUCAUGAUAGAGCAGAAGAGAACAUGCGUUUCUAGUGCAGCACAUGCACACAAUUUGAUUUGAAUUUUUAAAUAUAAUAGGCCCUAUUUGUAUAAUUAGUAGGCUGAUGUAUAUACACCUUUCAUAAUAUUUCCCUUAAUGUUAUUAGCCUACCUCCUCUUUCUCUCUCUAUUGUUGCUUCAUUCAUUCCUCGCUUUCAACAGUUAAAUGAAAUACAUUUUGUUGUCAUUCUGAUGACAUCCUUGAAUAAUAUUAGACUAAAAUUAGAUGCAGAAGGCUUUCACUUCUCUUCACGAAGAUUGAAUGGUUAUGGGUCUGAAUAAAUAACUGCUUUAGCCUACUGCCGUUGUGCGCGUUCACUCUUCUUUCCAUCUACCGGCGAGUUCUAUUGGCGGCUGUAUUUAACAUUCAGCAAAAAAAGAGCUUGAGUCCCUCUUCGAAUAGUCUAUUGGUAUAAGAAAUACCAAUACCAAUAUUCUAGUCCAGCUUUUCCUGCAUGGGACUCCAAGAGCUAAGGAGCACUUUUUAAGGAGAGAGGCCAGCAAAGCACAGGUAUGUGUGUAUUGCGCAAGAGACAGAAGCUAUAAGUUAGAAACUUAUUGUGCAUAACCCAUCAUUAAUUAGCUAAAUAUAAGGCUAAUGCAUUGAAUGUAUUACCUGAAAGAGAUAGGACAUCUCUAUAUAAGGCUAUAUAUUUUAAGUUGAUGGAGCGAGAGAAAGACAGAGAGUGUUUGUGCAUGCCCGAUAAAGCAACGAUAUUCCAGUGAUAGGCUGUUUUAAAACUCUGCAGCUGCAAUAAAAAAACAGACUCUUUAAAAUAACAAAACAAGGUGACCCCCGAAAGCCAGAUGGAGAUGGGUAAAUUAGAUGCGCAUUCUGUCUUUAUAUUAGCAAAUGUAGACCUACCUGUCACAAGAGAAAAGUUACCAUGAUGAGAUGAUCGUUCUACAUGCAUUGUGAACUACACUCCAUACUGAGAUGGGCUGUCUGUCCCCACCCUGAGUGUUGAUUCAUCAUGCAGAGGCCCUAGAGAAGCCAGCUUUAGCCAUUGCACAUAAUUUAACAGUUCCAUUUCAUGCCAUGCUGUUCAUAUAAAUACUUUAUUAUAAUUGACUGGUUUCUCUCAGUUAUUUACCCCGGGAAGGGAAGUGGUUUUAGGCAGUAAAUCUCGGGAAACCUGGUUCCCGCCAUUCAACCAUAAUGUGCACGCCCUUCAUUCUAUCUAUUUUCAGUAUGAACAUUUUAGUAGUGAAUUACAUUUUCUGUGUGUAUGUUGCUAGCAGAGUAGAAGCUCAUCCCUUCUGGCGUAUGUAGUGGUGUCAGUGGCAUGUGUUCUGGUUACUUACUGCUCUUUAAAGGGCUCUGCUUAGCACCACUGAUACCCUCUGAGUUACAUCCUGACUGGAACAGCCCUCUCUGGGCACCAGCCUCUGGUGUUUGGGAGUUAGCACCUAGGCCUACACUCUGGCUAAUGCAACACAGAACAGUCCCACUCAACCCUCCCAAAGACACCCUCACACAUUCAGACUCACUGACACAUCCCUCUCUGUCUCUUCUGGUCGGUGCAGGCAGCCCGGGCAGCUGGCUGGCCAUUUGGUGAACACUUGUCCUCUGAAUGUGAUCUCAUCUCAUCCCUGUAGCUCAGUAUGGAGGGGCUUGUCAUCUCUCCAGCUGGCAGGGCAUCACUCACACACACACACACACACACACACACACACACA